UCGGAUUUGGAAGUAUUCUUCCCUCUGUAGGUACGGGUAGGGCUCCUAGGUGAGUCGAUGCCGGAUUGUGUGUGUCCAGGGUGUUCUUGCUUGUGUGGUGCGUUUAUUCCAGAUUUGGGCCAUUGUGAGCCAAUUUAUCGUUGAAGCGAGCGAUUCUGUGUUUUGAGGGGUCCUCUGGUGAAUUCUGCACAUGCGAGCACGGAUCUUCUUUGAGUUAUGAUGCGGGUAGGGGAGAUACUUCUUCCCCUCUGAAAGAACGAGUAACGAACCAGAUGGCUCUCACUAGUAGCUGCUGCCUCCCCUCCGCUCCAAGCAAAAUCUCCACCUUCACCAGUAGCCCCAGAAAGCAUGGCAAGCCCCUCCUUCCCUGUGUUUUUAUGUGUGCACGCGGCGAUCUAGGAAAGAAAACGAACGAAUUGACAGUCGAGUUGCCCAGAGUGUCAGAUUCCUUUUUGGCGGCAGUUGUGGCAUUAGGGAGCUUGGUUGUUGCAGAUACUGCUAGUGCCUUGCCUGAAAAAUUCUUGGUAAAAGAACUUGUUUAUCUUUACUUCAUUCGUGAGAUACCUCUCCUUCCAUUUAAUUAUGCGUUUAACGAUGGUGUUUUCAGUUUCUUCAUAAUGUAGCUUAAUUGGUUUCAUUGUUGUGGUUAUUUAUAUAAUCCUGAUGCUUGUAAAAA